rnacentral:rRNA from 1 species
GCAAGUCGUUAGGUGUUUUGCAUACCUGAAGGCGCAGUGAAAGCAAGAGCCUAUAACUCGGUUGUAGGCACUAUUCAGUAUUGGCGAGAAUCUCUCUCUUCGUAGAGAGCGCAUCGCCGGCCCGUACUUUGCCCACGUGGCUUGCACGGAGCUCGAGCAUACACACUGCGACCCGAAAGAUGGUGAACUAUGCCUGGACAGGACGAAGCCAGGGGAAACCCUGGUGGAAGUCCGAAGCGGUUCUGACGUGCAAAUCGAUCGUCUGAUCUGGGUAUAGGGGCGAAAGACUAAUCGAACCAUCUAAUAGCUGGUUCCCGCCGAAGUAUCCCUCAGGAUAGCACAGGCUUGUCAAAGCAUUAGUCUCUCCCGGUAAAGCGAAUGAUUAGAGGUCUUGGGGCCGAAACGGCCUCAACCUAUUCUCAAACUUUAAAUGGGUGAGAUGUAUGACUUACCUAGCGGAAGUUCAUACAUUAGGAUAGCUAAGUCUGUAGUGGGCCAUUUUUGGUAAGCAGAACUGGCGCUGUGGGAUGAACCGAACGUUGAGUUACGGUGUCCGAGUGCGACGCUCAUCAGACCCCAUAAAAGGUGUUGGUUGCUAUAGACA